ACGUAGGGAGCAAGCGUUAUCCGGAUUUACUGGGUGUAAAGGGCGUGUAGGCGGGCUUGUAAGCCAGAAGUGAAAUCUGGGGGCUUAACCCCCAAACUGCUUUUGGAACUGCGAGUCUUGAGUGAUGGAGAGGCAGGCGGAAUUCCCAGUGUAGCGGUGAAAUGCGUAGAUAUUGGGAGGAACACCAGUGGCGAAGGCGGCCUGCUGGACAUUAACUGACGCUGAGGCGCGAAAGCGUGGGGAGCAAACAGG
rnacentral:rRNA from 1 species